rnacentral:rRNA from 2 species
GUUGGGUAGGGGAGCGUUCUGUAAGCCUGCGAAGGUGGCCUGUGAGGGUUGCUGGAGGUAUCAGAAGUGCGAAUGCUGACAUAAGUAACGAUAAAGCGGGUGAAAAGCCCGCUCGCCGGAAGACCAAGGGUUCCUGUCCAACGUUAAUCGGGGCAGGGUGAGUCGACCCCUAAGGCGAGGCCGAAAGGCGUAGUCGAUGGGAAACGGGUUAAUAUUCCCGUACUUGGUGUUACUGCGAAGGGGGGACGGAGAAGGCUAUGUUGGCCGGGCGACGGUUGUCCCGGUUUAAGCGUGUAGGUGUGUGUUCCAGGUAAAUCCGGUUCACUUUAACACUGAGGCGUGACGACGAGGCACUACGGUGCUGAAGCAACAAAUGCCCUGCUUCCAGGAAAAGCCUCUAAGCAUCAGGUAACAUCAAAUCGUACCCCAAACCGACACAGGUGGUCAGGUAGAGAAUACCAAGGCGCUUGAGAGAACUCGGGUGAAGGAACUAGGCAAAAUGGUGCCGUAACUUCGGGAGAAGGCACGCUGACACGUAGGUGAAGUGAUUUACUCAUGGAGCUGAAGUCAGUCGAAGAUACCAGCUGGCUGCAACUGUUUAUUAAAAACACAGCACUGUGCAAACACGAAAGUGGACGUAUACGGUGUGACGCCUGCCCGGUGCCGGAAGGUUAAUUGAUGGGGUCAGCGCAAGCGAAGCUCCUGAUCGAAGCCCCGGUAAACGGCGGCCGUAACUAUAACGGUCCUAAGGUAGCGAAAUUCCUUGUCGGGUAAGUUCCGACCUGCACGAAUGGCGUAAUGAUGGCCAGGCUGUCUCCACCCGAGACUCAGUGAAAUUGAACUCGCUGUGAAGAUGCAGUGUACCCGCGGCAAGACGGAAAGACCCCGUGAACCUUUACUAUAGCUUGACACUGAACAUUGAGCCUUGAUGUGUAGGAUAGGUGGGAGGCUUUGAAGUGUGGACGCCAGUCUGCAUGGAGCCGACCUUGAAAUACCACCCUUUAAUGUUUGAUGUUCUAACGUGGACCCGUGAUCCGGGUUGCGGACAGUGUCUGGUGGGUAGUUUGACUGGGGCGGUCUCCUCCUAAAGAGUAACGGAGGAGCACGAAGGUUGGCUAAUCCUGGUCGGACAUCAGGAGGUUAGUGCAAUGGCAUAAGCCAGCUUGACUGCGAGCGUGACGGCGCGAGCAGGUGCGAAAGCAGGUCAUAGUGAUCCGGUGGUUCUGAAUGGAAGGGCCAUCGCUCAACGGAUAAAAGGUACUCCGGGGAUAACAGGCUGAUACCGCCCAAGAGUUCAUAUCGACGGCGGUGUUUGGCACCUCGAUGUCGGCUCAUCACAUCCUGGGGCUGAAGUAGGUCCCAAGGGUAUGGCUGUUCGCCAUUUAAAGUGGUACGCGAGCUGGGUUUAGAACGUCGUGAGACAGUUCGGUCCCUAUCUGCCGUGGGCGCUGGAGAACUGAGGGGGGCUGCUCCUAGUACGAGAGGACCGGAGUGGACGCAUCACUGGUGUUCGGGUUGUCAUGCCAAUGGCACUGCCCGGUAGCUAAAUGCGGAAGAGAUAAGUGCUGAAAGCAUCUAAGCACGAAACUUGCCCCGAGAUGAGUUCU